GCUUCUGUGAGAAGGGUCAGGAGAAAAAGGAAAACUGUCACUUUCAAGCUAACGAGCUUCUAGUCUCUCCACCAGGGACUGAACUCCAGGCUUGGCAAGGGGACAUCCACCUGCUGAGUCACUUCAUUAAACCACUAACCCACCGCUGCACUGAAUUCUUUUCCAGCAGAAGUGCCUGGGGCUCUGCCGCGCUUCCUUGACGGUUACUCCUGUGCUCAAACUCCGCCCGCCCAGACCUGCGCUGCACGCUCGCCCUCGCGGCUUCCCACCUGCACGCGCACAGCCUCCUCCUCGGCCAGGCCCACCGGGUGGCGGCGGUACGCACCCAGAACCCGGCAGAGCGCCCACACGGAGCGGCCACAGCGGCGACAGAAGAGCUCAUGUCCACCCAAUGGCACUUCCCUGGGGAAGUGCUUGCGUGGCUUCCUGCCCCAAGUUCUAUUUUCUGGCUCUCACUGGCCACCACCCUGGGCUCCCUAGUAUGAUAUGUAGUACAUUGCAGUGCUACUAUCCUACCCCUGACCAACCAGGCAACUAACUCAUCCAGAUGCGGCGAGGAUCUGAUUUCUGACUUGGCUCACGGUACAAGCCAUGGCGCUGAGUGCUGAGCGAACGUCCCUCCCGCGUCCUUGACUCUGGUUGGGGAGUUGCCCUAGCAGAAGCGGUAAAGA